rnacentral:rRNA from 1 species
AAAGAAACUAACAAGGAUUUUCUUAGUAGCGGCGAGCGAAAAGAAAACAGUUCAGCGCUUAGUCACUUUGUCUUUAUGGCAAAUGUGAGAUGCAGCGUAUGGAAUAUUAUUCUAAUAUGAGUAUUUAGCUAUUUAAGUCCUUCUUAAAUGAGGCCAUUCACCCAUAGAGGGUGCCAGGCCCGUAAAAAGUUAAAGAUUAUUAGAUAAUGUUUCCGAAGAGUCGUGUUGCUUGAUAGUGCAGCACUAAGUGGGUGGUAAACUCCAUCUAAAACUAAAUAUAACCAUGAGACCGAUAGUAAACAAGUACCGUGAGGGAAAGUUGAAAAGAACUCUGAAUAGAGAGUUAAAUAGUACGUGAAACUGCUUAGAGGUUAAGCCCGAUGAACCUGAAUAUCCAUUAUGGAAAAUUCAUCAUUAAAAUUUGUAAUAAAUUUUAUUAUAAAUGAUAGUGUGCAUUUUUUCCAUAUAAGGACAUUGUAAUCUAUUAACAUGCAUUUAUUUAUCAUAAGGUUAUUAACUUUAGUUUAUUCAUAAUUAGUUUCACGAUUAAUUUGAGUAAAUGUUGAUAAUUUGAUAAAGUGUUGAUAGAUUUAUUCAUAUAUAACGUACAAAUCUUCGGAUUUUAUAAUAAUAUUUAUUAUAUAUAAUGAGUAUUCAUUAUAUACGUUUAUAUGAUUUACAAUGCGAAAGAUUCAGGAUACCUUCGGGACCCGUCUUGAAACACGGACCAAGGAGUCUAACAUAUAUGCAAGUCAUUGGGAAUAUUAUUAAACCCAUUGGCGUAAUAAACAUAACUAAUUUAAUGGGAUUAGUUUUUAUAUAUUUUAUAUGUAUUAAUUCAAUCCCGGGGCG